AGGAUGAGUGAAAAAAUGUUUCUCCCACUGAAAACACUACGUCCAGAUGAGCAGAAUCAUUGUUUUGAGAUUUUACCAGAAAGGCUUUAGGACCCAUCACAGAGGCGUCGCUGUCAGCAGAUGUGGUGUGUGGAUCUUUAGACGUUGUUGCUCAGAUCCAGACUCAGAUUUGGUGCCUUUCAGCGUCUGAAGAUGUGUUCGAGUCUCUCCACCAGCCGCCUGAUUCUGCUGAUCUCCCUGAGUGUGAUGAUGCUCAUCUCUGUAUCAGGAGCUGACCACGUGGGGAUACGCUGCUAUAAAAACCAUUCUAACCAAAGUACAAGAACCACGUUUGCACCUAAAUGUGCAAAAAACAUCAUCAGCUGCUUUGAACGCGACAGACCAGACUGCCUUCCUGGCUAUGAGGUUAAAAUAAGCAGUGGAAGAACAUUUUUCCUCAGACCAAACACCGAGUGGCUUAAAAGGAAAAUAAAUGAGAGAACUCUGCUGUGUCCUCCAAUGUUUUCAGCUUAAAUAACUGAAGCUAUUAAUCUUUAAUGAGUCCUCCCACUAUAGUUUGUAUAUUCCAGCUGCACCACAGUGUUUAGAAGCAGUGACUAAAUGUCAUCUUACAUGUCUUGUAGGUUUCUUAAUUCACACGCUGAUUUUCAUAGAUUUAAUCUAAGUAAAGAUGAUGAAAACGAUGAAACAAAGUUAAAGUAAAGCAGCUGCUGGAAACAUUUCUGCUCAUUUAUUAGUUCACACUUUGACAGAAAUAUUUGUUAAGAAAUGUAAAUUAUUUUUUGCAAAUUAUUCAUAGCGCUUUAACAGUCUUGUGUUCACAUAUAUAUACAAUACAAAACAAUUUUACUAUAUAACAUGUUUAAAACCAGGGGGUACACCAAAUUGCUUCACAGUAAGGAAUAAACAGUAAAAUUAUUACACUGAACAGUAAGUCAUUUAAAGAAUGUAAAAUAGAGAAACAAACAAAGGCAUUUGUAAGUAGGGAUUGGGAGAAUUCAUGAUAAUCCAGAGAAAUGAGUAAAGAUACGCCAGCUAGUGAUUGGUGAGAAUUAGCAAAUAUACUACAAAUGUCAUUAAAUAUGAAUGUUAUUCUGUCUUCAAGCUGAGAACAAAGACAAAUCAAUAAAAGCUUCUGAAAUCA